AAAUUAAAGUCGAGAUGGACCUUGAGGAAGACCACAUGAAGGCUGAUGGGGAAGAGGCAUUUGAAGCUAUUUGCCAGUUUAUAAUUCUAUCUUCUCAAAGAGUAGCCUUGAAACCAGCGAAACAAUAAUCAAAGAGCAGUUCUGUCAAAGAAAACAACAUAAAUCAGGUACAGAAUUUCAGAGUGGGAUAUCAGAUCUUUAGUGUGAAGAUACAUCUACAUUAAGCCACGAAUCACUAGAACUGACAUUUGGACAAGAAAAUUUGGAACAUUUUAAAACUGUGAAGGUUGAUCAUGGAAAUUAAAGAGGAAGGGGCAUCAGAAGAAGGGCAGCACUUUCUUCCUACAGCCCAGGCCAAUGAUCCCGGGGACUGUCAGUUCACAAGUAUCCAGAAGACUCCAAAUGAACCGCAGUUGGAAUUCAUCCUUGCUGCAGCUAUCUGAAUAAUGGGAUCAGGCCUGGUGAUUGGAUGCUGCUGAACAUCUAGAAAUUAACUUCAUAUUCACUCUGUAAGCCACCACUUG
rnacentral:sRNA from 1 species